rnacentral:rRNA from 1 species
AGAGUUUGAUCCUGGCUCAGAACGAACGUUGGCGAUGCGUUUUAAGCAUGCAAGUCGAGCGGCAUGUUGAUGAUUGCUUGCAAUUAUCAACGCGAGCGGCGAACUGGUGAGUAACACGUAGGUAAUCUACCUAGCAGACUGGGAUAGCCUCUGGAAACAGGGAUUAAUACCGGAUAUACCGGAAACGGGAAAGUCUCGUUUGGGACACUGCUAGAUGAGCCUGCGCCCUAUUAGCUAGUUGGUGGGGUAAAGGCCUACCAAGGCAAUGAUAGGUAGCCGACCUGAGAGGGUGUACGGCCACAUUGGGACUGAGAUACGGCCCAGACUCCUACGGGAGGCAGCAGCUAAGAAUAUUCCGCAAUGGACGAAAGUCUGACGGAGCGACAUCGCGUGGUGGAUGAAGGCCUUCGGGUUGUAAGCACUUUUCGGCAGGGAAGAAUAAGAUACAUAGGAAAUGAUGUAUCGAUGACGGUACCUGCAUAAGAAGCCCCGGCUAACUACGUGCCAGCAGCCGCGGUAAUACGUAGGGGGCAAACGUUGUUCGGAAUUAUUGGGCGUAAAGAGUACGUAGGCGGAUAUAUAAGUUAAUGGUAAAAGACUCGGGCUUAACCCAAGGAAUGCCAUUAAAACUGUAAAUCUCGAGUUACAUAGAGGCAGCAGGAAUUCCUGGUGUAGGGGUGAAAUCUGUAGAUAUCAGGAGGAACACCAAUGGCGAAGGCAAGCUGCUGGGUGAUAACUGACGCUGAGGUACGAAAGCUAGGGGAGCGAACGGGAUUAGAUACCCCGGUAGUCCUAGCCGUAAACGAUGCACACUAGUUGUUGGGUAUUUUAACAAUACUCAGUGACGGAGUUAACGCGAUAAGUGUGCCGCCUGGGGAGUAUGCCCGCAAGGGUGAAACUCAAAGGAAUUGACGGGGGCCCGCACAAGCGGUGGAGCAUGUGGUUUAAUUCGAUGUACGCGAAGAAUCUUACCUGGGUUUAAAUGCUAGUGGACAUCUCUAGAGAUAGAGCUUUCCUUCGGGACUGCUAGUAAGGUGCUGCAUGGCUGUCGUCAGCUCGUGUCGUGAGAUGUUGGGUUAAGUCCCGCAACGAGCGCAACCCUCACCCUUUGUUGCUAAUUCGAUUUAUCGAAUAGGACUCUUAGGGAACUGCUCCGGUUAACGGGGAGGAAGGUGGGGAUGACGUCAAGUCCUCAUGGCCUUUAUGUCCAGGGCUACACACGUGCUACAAUGGGGUGUACAGAGAGAAGCGAGAUUGCGAAAUUAAGCAAAACUCAAAAAACACUCCUCAGUUCGGAUUGCAGUCUGAAACUCGACUGUAUGAAGUUGGAAUCGCUAGUAAUCGCAGAUCAGCAUGCUGCGGUGAAUACGUUCUCGGGCCUUGUACACACCGCCCGUCACACCACCCGAGUUAAGUUUACCCGAAGUCCCUGACC